rnacentral:lncRNA from 1 species
AGCGUUCACAAGCUGGGUUUCUGCACCCCCUUUCUAGAAGGUGUGGGUUCCCUGGCUUGACACUGGUGAGCACACUGGACUUGGCUGUGAUGAUGGUCCCAGGAGGACGAAGCAGGGCUCAAUCACCAUCGACACGGUUUCCAGUUCUCCACUUCCUCCCAGUUCCUUGAUGUGUCAAUCCAGAUAUCUGGCAUAUGCAACUUCCUCCUGGUGAACACCUCCAUAUGGAACAUCCAGAUACAACCUUCUUGACUCAUCCCACUGACUCACCCCACAUGGACCGUGCAGAUAUGCCACAGUAGCCACCUCUCAGUCACAGCAUGACUUCUGGAACUUGUGCCUGCUUGCUUCAAACCCACCGAUUAAAACUUCCUGCAGGAAAUCUGUAUAGAGAAUGCCCUAGACUCCAAUAAAGGCAAGGGUCCUUCUGUCUCUCUCCCUCACAUGCUCCCUGACUUCUGUGUGUGUGGCCUCUGGGCAUGCCGUGUACCCUCAGGACCUCAGACUGGAAACACUCUUUUUGUAGAAUCUGCGAAGGGACAUUUUGGAGCCCAUUGAAGCCUAUAGUGAAAAACCGAAUAUUCUACGAUAGAAACCAUGGAGGCCUAUAGUGAAAAACUGAAUAUCCCAUGAUAAAAAACAGAAAGAAGCUAUCUGCGAAACCACUUUGCGAUGUGUGGAUUCAUCUCACAGAGUUAAACCUUUCUUCUGAUUCAGCAGACUGGAAACACUCUUUUUGUAGAAUCUGUGAGGGGACAUUUCGGAGCCCAUUGAGGCCUAUAGUGAAAAACCGAAUAUCCUGAGAUAAAAACUAGAAAGAAGCUAUCUGUGAGACCGCUUUGCGAUGUAUGAAUUCAUCUCACAGAGUUAAACCUUUCUUCUGAUUCAGCAGACUGGAAACACUCUUUUUGUAGAAUCUGUGACGGGACAUUUCGGAGCCCAUUGAGACCUGUAGUGAAAAACCGAAUAUCCCACAAUAAAAACUAGAAAGAAGUUAUCUGUGAAACCGCUUUGCGAUGUUUGUUUUUAAAAUCCUCCUCUUCCCACUAGAAUGUAAGCUUCAGAAGAACAGGCUAUUCAUUCUGCCCACUGUGUGCACCCAGCCUGGAACGGUGCCCAGAGUGGGUUAGUGUGCGGUGUGCACGUACUGACCUGGUGGUGAUGAAGGGCGCAGGAAGGACACGCGACCUGAUCUUUAUCCUAAGGAGCCCACACUGGAACAGGAUUAGAUUGAAGGUAG